GACGAACGCUGGCGGCGUGCCUAACACAUGCAAGUCGAACGGAGUAAGUAGCAAUACUUACUUAGUGGCGAACGGGUGAGUAACGCGUAGACAACCUGCCUCUAAACUGGGGACAACAUCGCGAAAGUGGUGCUAAUACCGAAUGUGGUAACUUGGUCGCAUGACUGAGUUAAGAAAGAUGGCCUCUACAUGUAAGCUAUCGGUAUGGGAUGGGCCCGCGUCUAAUUAGCUAGUUGGUGAGGUAACGGCUCACCAAGGCGACGAUCAGUAGCCGACCUGAGAGGGUGAUCGGCCACACUGGAACUGAGACGCGGUCCAGACUCCUACGGGAGGCAGCAGUGGGGAAUAUUGCACAAUGGGCGCAAGCCUGAUGCAGCAACGCCGCGUGAGUGAUGAGGGCCUUCGGGUUGUAAAACUCUGUCCUAUGGGAAGAAACAAAUGACGGUACCAUGGGAGGAAGCCCCGGCUAACUACGUGCCAGCCGCCGCCGUAA
rnacentral:rRNA from 1 species